GGUAGCAUGGCCGAGCGGUCUAAGGCGCUGGUUUAAGGCACCAGUCAUUUCGAUGGCGUGGGUUCGAUUUCCCACUGCUGCCA
rnacentral:tRNA from 1 species